GACGAACGCUGGCGGCGUGCUUAACACAUGCAAGUCGAACGGGCCCGCCCCUGUUUUUGGGGGUGGGUUGAGUGGCGAACGGGUGAGUAUCACGUGAGUAACCUGCCCCCUGCUCCUGGAUAACUGCUUGAAAGGGCGGCUAAUACGGGGUGUGCCGGCUGGUCCGCAUGGGCCUGGUCGGGAUAGUUUCAUCUUCGGGUGUUUCGGUGGGGGAUGGGCUCGCGGCCUAUCAGCUUGUUGGUGGGGUGAUGGCCCACCAAGGCGGUGACGGGUAGCCGGCCUGAGAGGGUGGGCGGCCACACCGGGACUGAGACACGGCCCAGACUCCUGCGGGAGGCAGCAGUGGGGGGUAUUGCACAAUGGGCGGAAGCCUGAUGCAGCGACGUCGCGUGAGGGAUGGAGGCCUUCGGGUUGUGAACCUCUUUCUCCGGUGGUGAAGGCCCUGUCCGUUGCGGCGGGGUUGACGGUAGCCGGGUAUGAAGCGCCGGCUAACUACGUG
rnacentral:rRNA from 1 species